GCUGGAGUGGUGGAAUGGUAUACACACUGCACUUAGAAUGCAGCGCCCUCGGGAUUGAGAGUUCAAAUCUCUCCUCCAGUACCA
rnacentral:tRNA from 8 species